GGUCAUGGACUCAACAGUUGCAUAAUCAAUUCGUAACAGUGGUCAAUGAAUUAGGCCUUGAAAAUGCAAAGCCCAAAAAAAUACUCAAAAUAAUGGAUGUUCCGGGUUUAACCCGAGAACACGUUGCUAGCCAUUUGCAGAAUGAAUGCUACAGCCCAUCAGUUUCUGAAACAUUUGUCCAGUAGAUGAGCUAUUGGAUGAGUUGCAUGGUGCUCAAUACUUCUCUAAACUUGAUCUCCGAUUAGGGUAUCAUCAAAUACUUGUGCAACCACAAGACAGUUCACCAAGUUGCUCACUGGAGUUGCCUAUGAGACAAAGUAGACUUCAUAUUGAUGAGCUCCAUCGAUAAGUUCACUAAAUUGCUCGGUGGACAUAAGGUAAAGCUGGCGAGGAAGAGAUGGCGGAGGUAAUAUCGAUAUCAGAGUAUGAAAACUUCUAAAAGUGAUUACCUUUUUAGAAACAGUGAUAUUUUUUUAAAAAAGUGGUAGAAGUGGCUGACAUCCACCACCUUAUAAGUCAGCUUUCUGGAGUUGUGUUGAGUUACGUUGAACUCAAAUACUAAGGUACUUAUUUAUCAAAUAAGAGCUUAUUUAUAAAGAGAGGAUGAGGUUAAGUUUUAUAUAACUUAUGCUGCAUCUAUAAGUAACUGUGGGGAGCUUAUAAAAUAAGUUAAAAACAUUUUAUAAACUAUUUUUAUAACUCAUUCCAAACAUUGCACUGAUGUCACUGUUUUAAAUUGCCACAAAUCCAAUUGCAGUUGAAACAUAAAGGUUUUUGAGGUCUUUGUAACAGCAUCGCGAUCACAAUUAUGGCCAUAUUUGUCUGCAAUUUUUCGCUAUAUCAAGGACCGCAAUGCAACCACAACUGCAAUUUAAAACUUUUGCUUAUGGCUUAGAAUAAAAUAAUUUAACAGAAGCUUUUUUCUGAACCCCGCUAUAAUAAACAUCUUGAAUGGGCUGGGCUUUUUAUUGUUUUGGAACUCUAACUAUGUGAUCUUAAAGGUAACAUACACGAAUACUUAAACACUAUCAAAGAUUGGAAAUCUGAAGGAUAAAGUCAUGAUAUAAAAGUUUUGAAAAUGUUCUCUUUCUUUUAUCCCCUUCAUUUUGGUGUUGCUGUUUUAGCAACAUCAGAAACUAUUCUCUACCAUCACAUUUUCUACAACAAGUUUUAGAUACCUGCUAAAUAUUUCAUACAAGCCUAGAUUUGAUAUCACCUAGCUUUCCUAUUGUUUUAGUUACUAUCUCAAUUUUUUUAUUGGUUUGACAGCGUGGAACUCUCGAAUGAAGAGCUUGUUGAAGAUAGACUUGUGAAGCGUUCAUUGCAAAAGAGUUUGCUUUUGGAGUUCAAGAAAUAUUCUGAGAGAAUAUUGCUAGCAGUUGCUCAGAGAGACCUGAUGGAAAGAAGAAUUGGAUGGUUUCAGAUUAGGUUCUUGUUGAAACAGCAUAUGCGAAUGGUGUCACUAGUUCCAUCAAGCUGCAACAAGUGACAUAUACUGUACCUGGUAUUGACAAUUUUGACCAAGCAGAUAUUGCUGGUUUCGAUCAGAAAGCUCAGGAAAACAUGGACCCAUAGCUACUUGAACUUGCUUGGUCUGAGCUUCAGCUACUUGAAAAUAAUAAUACUGUUACCGUUGAAGAGAUGGCUGAAGUAAUAUCGAUAUAAUUUCUGGACUGGAUAUCAGAAGACAAAAGGAUUGCGUUGCAUUUAUGGACCUCGACCUAGUGAGCAGGUAGAUGUAUUACUUUCAGGCAUAUUGUAGCUUUGAAAAAUUAAUGUUUUCACUACUCAUCUAAUAAUAUAAUUAUAUAUGCAGAGGAUAAAAAAUCUUUUCAAAAAGAUACCUGAAAUCAUAACAAAAAAGCAUAUACACAUACAAUUCUCUUGUUGAUCUUAAAAUGUAUUAUUUUCAUUGUAAUUUGUAAAUAUGUAACAAAUGUAUAUAUUCCCUAAUCAAUGUCAAAAUGUCACAAAAUAUCAUUAGUCCUAUUUAAAAUAAGUCUUAGAUUUUAUUUAUUUGCUCACUGCAUACUGUAAAAAAAUAAUUGUAUAAUUUCAUCUCCCCAUUCUAACCAUCCAAAAAAGCAUAACUUGCAAGUCUAACUCACCAAGAGACUACUCUGCCAGUUCAAGAAUUCGGUCACCACCAUCAUCAAAUGGAUCGUCUUGUACAUCUCCACUACUAUCCCACAUGCCACAACCACGUCUCACUUAUUUUAAUAUCCUCAUAGAAUGAACAAAGGAGUAUGUACUUUAUUUUUGCUGUGCUCUGUUUGGAUAUUACUUCAUUCUUGAAAUUUAAUCAAAUUUAUCUUGAGUUAUAA